AACGAACGCUGGCGGCAUGCCUAACACAUGCCAGUCGAACGAGACCUUCGGGUCUAGUGGCGCACGGGUGCGUAACGCGUGGGAACCUUCCCUUAGGUUCGGAAUAACUCCCCGAAAGGGGUGCUAAUACCGGAUAAUGUCUUCGGACCAAAGAUUUAUCGCCCUUGGAUGGGCCCGCGUUGGAUUAGCUAGUUGGUAGGGUAAAAGCCUACCAAGGCGACGAUCCAUAGCUGGUCUGAGAGGAUGAUCAGCCACACUGGGACUGAGACACGGCCCAGACUCCUACGGGAGGCAGCAGUGGGGAAUAUUGGACAAUGGGCGAAAGCCUGAUCCAGCAAUGCCGCGUGAGUGAUGAAGGCAUUAGGGUUGUAAAGCUCUUUUACCCGGGAUGAUAAUGACAGUACCGGGAGAAUAAGCUCCGGCUAACUCCGUG
rnacentral:rRNA from 1 species